rnacentral:rRNA from 1 species
UACGAAGGGGGCUAGCGUUGCUCGGAAUCACUGGGCGGAAAGCGCACGUAGGCGGAUUGCUAAGUCAGGGGUGAAAUCCUGGAGCUCAACUCCAGAACUGCCUUUGAUACUGGCGGUCUCGAGUCCGGGAGAGGUGAGUGGAACUGCGAGUGUAGAGGUGAAAUUCGUAGAUAUUAGGAAGAACACCAGUGGCGAAGGCGGCCCACUGGUCCGGUACUGACGCUGAGGUGCGAAAGCGUGGGGAGCAAACAGG